rnacentral:rRNA from 1 species
AUUGAACGCUGGCGGCAGGCCUAACACAUGCAAGUCGAACGAGUGGCGGACGGGUGAGUAAUGUCUGGGAAACUGCCCGAUGGAGGGGGAUAACUACUGGAAACGGUAGCUAAUACCGCAUACCAUCGGAUGUGCCCAGAUGGGAUUAGCUAGUAGGUGGGGUAACGGCUCACCUAGGCGACGAUCCCUAGCUGGUCUGCGAGGAUGACCAGCCAAAUGGGAAUGGAGAAACGGGCCAGAGUCCGACGGGAGGCAGCAGUGGGGAAUAUUGGACAAUGGGCGAAAGCCUGAUGCAGCCAUGCCGCGGGUAUGAAGAAGGCCUGCGGGUUGUAAAGUACUUUCAGCGAGGAGGCGUUACUCGCAGAAGAAGCACCGGCUAACUCCGUGCCAGCCGCCGCGGUAAUAC